CAUGCAAGUCGAACGGAAAGGCCCUUCGGGGUGCUCGAGUGGCGAACGGGUGAGUAACACGUGGGUGAUCAGCCCUGCACUUUGGGAUAAGCCUGGGAAACUGGGUCUAAUACCGAAUAGGACUCCGGACUGCAUGGUCUGGGGUGGAAAGCUUUUGCGGUGUGGGAUGGGCCCGCGGCCUAUCAGCUUGUUGGUGGGGUGAUGGCCUACCAAGGCGACGACGGGUAGCCGGCCUGAGAGGGUGACCGGCCACACUGGGACUGAGAUACGGCCCAGACUCCUACGGGAGGCAGCAGUGGGGAAUAUUGCACAAUGGGCGCAAGCCUGAUGCAGCGACGCCGCGUGGGGGAUGACGGCCUUCGGGUUGUAAACCUCUUUCAGCACAGACGAAGCGUAAGUGACGGUAUGUGCAGAAGAAGCACCGGCCAACUACGUGCCAGCAGCCGCGGUAAUACGUAGGGUGCGAGCGUUGUCCGGAAUUACUGGGCGUAAAGAGCUCGUAGGUGGUUUGUCGCGUUGUUCGUGAAAACUCACA
rnacentral:rRNA from 1 species